rnacentral:rRNA from 1 species
GACAGAGGGUGCAAACGUUGUUCGGAAUUACUGGGCGUAAAGCGCGUGUAGGCGGUCCUCUAAGUCGGGUGUGAAAGCCCCGGGCUCAACCCGGGAAGUGCACUCGAAACUGGAGGGCUAGAGUAUCGGAGAGGUUGGUGGAAUUCUCGGUGUAGAGGUGAAAUUCGUAGAUAUCGAGAGGAACACCGGUGGCGAAGGCGGCCAACUGGACGAAUACUGACGCUGAGACUCGAAAGCGUGGGGAGCAAACAGG